rnacentral:rRNA from 1 species
CAAUAGCGUAUAUUUAAGUUGUUGCAGUUAAAAAGCUCGUAGUUGGAUUUCGGUUGAGAACGGCCGGUCCGCCGUUUGGUGUGCACUGGCUGGUUUCAACUUCCUGUAGAGGACGCGCUCUGGCUUCACGGCUGGACGCGGAGUCUACGUGGUUACUUUGAAAAAAUUAGAGUGUUCAAAGCGGGCUUACGCUUGAAUAUUUCAGCAUGGAAUAACACUAUAGGACUCCUGUCCUAUUUCGUUGGUCUCGGGACGGGAGUAAUGAUUAAGAGGAACAGUUGGGGGCAUUCGUAUUUCAUUGUCAGAGGUGAAAUCCUUGGAUUUAUGAAAGACGAACUUCUGCGAAAGCAUUUGCCAAGGAUGUUUNCAUUA